UACGGGGGGAGCAAGCGUUGUUCGGAUUUACUGGGCGUAAAGGGCGCGUAGGCGGCGUAACAAGUCACUUGUGAAAUCUCCGGGCUUAACUCGGAGCGGUCAAGUGAUACUGUUGUGCUAGAGUGCGGAAGGGGCUACUGGAAUUCUCGGUGUAGCGGUGAAAUGCGUAGAUAAUCGAGAGGAACACCUGCGGCGAAGGCGGUAGCUGGGCCGACACUGACGCUGAAGCGCGAAAGCUAGGGGAGCGAACGGG
rnacentral:rRNA from 1 species